GCCACUUCUUUGAUGUGUAUAAUUGUGACCUUCGAUCAAGGAAGUCAAGGUCAAGAUUUGUAGUCUCAAUCAGUCUGACACAUGCUGGUUUACAUGCUCUCUCUCUGUUGUCUUUCAACUUUCUUAGAUUUUUUUUUGGCCGGGUAGAGUAUACCUUAUUGAUGGUACAUAAUAAGGUCAGGCUCCCCAAGCCCCUACCCUUUUCCAGUGGUCUGCAAUGGAAACUGUGGAGGUUGGGAGAUUCUCCACGUGUUGGGCAAUGAGUUACAGCAAGGAUCCCCCAGCAGCUGAGGGCCUCUCUCUUCCUCUUGCUCUUGCUGGGGCUGGUGGUCCAGAGGGCUCUUACUCUGUGGAGGCCAUGUGGACCAUAAAGUCCACCACCUGGUUGCUGUAGCCAAAUUCAUUGUGAUACCAGGAAAUAAGCUUGACAGCGUGGUCACUGAGAGCAAUGCCAGCCCCAGCAUCGAAGGUGGAAGAGUGGGUGUCACGUUAGAGUCUCAGGAGAUAAUAACCCGGUCCUCAGUGUAGCCCAGGAUGCCCUUGAGGGGACCGUCUGAUGCCUGCUGUACCAUCUCGGUGAUGCCAUCAUAUCUGGCAGCUUUCUCCAGGCAGCCUUGGAAUUUUUAAUUCUUCUUACUCUUAAUUAUAUGGAGUAGGACCAAAUUUAGGCAUCAGACUCUGCCCUUUCAAAAUUCCCGGAGAAAGUAGCAUGCAGCUCUAGAUUAUGACAACAAUGAAAUAAUUUCCGUGAAGAUAGGCCUGUGUGAGUCCAUUUCAAAUUCAAUGCCUGACCAUCCUGUGAGGAACUUAAAGGCACUGAGGAGAACUCUUCCAUGCUCGGAGCUUAUGUGUCUUCCUGUCUACUUGUCAGAGCCUUGGAGGAACUUGGGGUGAAGAAGUGCUCUGUUCCAGUCUUCAAGUAACAGAGAGAGUUCACUGGCCAGCUUCACCACUUCAGGCUGAUCGUGCAGUUGCAGAGAGACCUGACUGGUUCCUUCGAAAAUGGAAACAGGAAGCAGCUACACAUGAAAAUUUCAACUCCUGAAUGCAAGUUAAUACAUCAAGCAGCUGUACCGAAUGUGACCAUGAACCGGUGUUCCUCUAAAUGCACUUAAUAGCACAGCCAAAUUUGAACUUCCUGUAUCCCCCUGCAAGCAUCCUUGCAAAUCUGGCCUCCCAGUGACGUCGGUGAGCCGAACAUUUUUAGGAUCGGGGGACGUUGUGUUAAAGUAGAUGCGAAGACCGCGGUGAGAAAAAUGACAUACAACAGCAACCAGAUGAUCCAGGGGAAGGGAUGUGCCAUUCUGAUACUGAAAAUGUCCUCUGAUAAAUGUAUGAAGUUUCCUGGACAUUAAAUAAGAACAGGAAAUACUUCACAGAAGACUUAUUAAUAUAGUAACUAUUGAGUAUUCCAGGCCAAUGGAGGGGUGGAUUAAUCAGGAUAAGCGUAGGAAUUUGUACCUGUUUAAAGCAGGGGUCCCGGGUUUACGUUUAACCCCUCAUCGGCUAAAGAGGUGGACCACAGGCAGGCUCAUUUAGGCACAGCAAGAAACCGUUUGAAGGAUCUUCAAAGUCCUUGGGAUAAAAGUCCAUAUGAAACAAUAUUCAGGCAACUUCCUUGAUGCUAGGAAGUCAGUUAGUUUUGUAUUUCUGCCAGUUCUAGAAAUAAAUACAAUACCUUGCAUCUUAUUUAAGCCUGUGAUCUCACUUCGCCCUUCACAACAGCUCUGUGAGGUAAGUGGCCCACAAUCUCCUUGACGUCUGUUUUACAGAUGAAAAAACAGAGGGCAAUUAGGGGCUCUGUCCAAGCUUCGGGGUUGUUUAUGCAGAAGGCCCAGGCCUUCUGACGGCCACGCGCACACGUCUCCACCACAGUCACACAGCACAGGCUGUUCAGAUUUCUCAUAUAUUUAAUAGGAGAUGUAUCUAAGAACGAUGGGGGUUCUGGUAAGGUCUGAAUACUGGGGCGAAAUACAGAUAGUGGGAUAGUCUCUUCACACCUGGGAGAGAUAGUCCGCCGGUCCCCAGAGCUCUCACGGAGAGGAUGAAGGCGAGCCAGGAGAAUGUGGGUCUGUGGGAGUUGCCAGCUAGAGGAGAGUUCAGGUUCGUUCACUCCUGUCACGUGUUCAUUUCGCUUGUCCCCAUAGCUGUCUCCGAGUGAGGAUAAGAACCGUGAUUCAUGAGUUGCUAAAGACUGUGGAGGAAACUACUCUUAUAUAAACACCACUGAUGUGGAAUAGCUGUAGAAAACCAAUUAUUCAAAGCUGACUUUUAUUGUACUUUCAAACUGAAUCUGUUGUCAUUCCAUAUCUCUGUUCUUUUCCUUUAUUUGAAUUUCUUUUCUUUUUUCUUUUCUUCUUUUCUUCUUUUCUUCCCUUCUCUUCCCUCCCCUUCCCUUUUUUUGUUUUGCCAACACACACGUCUCAGUAGCUUAGCAACAUUAGAACUUAGUGACUUGCUCACAUCAAACCUGAACUGAGUGUUUCUGAUCAGCAGGCAGCUCUUCUCUAAGCAAGGGUGGUGAGGCAGGCUCUUCCAUGCUGGGGCUCCCUCAUCAUCGACGUGAGGCCUUCUAGGUUAUCGGCUCAUCUCCAUCAAGCAAGCAGAAAUGAAAGGAGCCCAUAGCUUUGCUUGUGGAAGGGCCGUUGGGGACCUCUCUGGAAAUGUCACUACUGCUGCUCCUUCUGGUGAGAACAGAUGGCAAAAAGGAAUAUGAAUUCUCUGCUACUCACCUUUGGGUUUUUGCACUGCUUUGAGGAUUUUGAGAUACUGUGAUUCAGCUAGAGCCCCAAGAGAGGCUGGAAGUGCUGGGGGGCAGCUAGGAGCCUCUGCUAGUGGCCAGAGGGACCUGAACGAUCCACGGGCAAGAGUAGUUUGAGAGAGAGAGAGAACACAAGCAAGCGAGGGACAGAGAGAAGGUCUGGCUAAAACAUCACCUCCUUUGUGAAACCUCCGUCAAUUCAAUUCUCCAACUCAAAUAGACUAGUUCUGUACUGCUGGAACAGGCCCAUGGUUCCUGCUGUACUUAUGAAAUCCAAAAAGCUCCGACAAUGAAAAGCUCUUAUUCUUUGCCAAGAACCAUCUUUUUCAUAGCUGGUGCUCAAUAAACAUUGUGAGACUUGGGUGUAGACACGUGCGCAAAAUGGCAAGUCAGGAGUGAUUCUCUCAGUGUCACAUCUGGAUCAGCUUGGAGUGUUUAGCUACAGUGAACAGAAUACCUAACUCCCGUGGUUAAACAAAUACAAGCUUGUCUUCCUCACAAAGCAAAAUGUCUGGAGAUUGACAGGCCAGCUGGUAGAGCUUUUAAGGAUACAGGUGCUGUCCAUCUUCUUAGCCCUUCGUAGUGCGUUUUCUACUAUAUCCUCAGGUGGGAAGAAAGAAAGAACUAGGCAGUGACAGGCAUGCCAGUUGACUCUUUUCUUCUCAAAAGUACCCACAAAUCCAGGCCACACAGGGGUUCUGCCAAGGCCAGGUUUUGCCAGGUGAGUACUGGCAGCUUCUCUACCACAGUCAAAAGGGGCUCACUUGAUUUGGUGGUGUUGAUCUAGAGAUUUGGUGGUGUUAGAUCUGAGAUCUAACGACCUCAGAGGCAGGUGAAUGAUCCUGCCAAUGGCUUCAGUCUGAGCCAGCAGUAGUGGCUGGGACAAACAUAUUCCUGCCCUAGGCUGCCUAAAUACGUGGCAAGACAGGAAAGAGCUCAAGUCAGCCAGUCCUGACCAACCCUGAGCCAAUGCACAUACACAGAGGAGACGCAAAAAGGCACAGUGGAAAGUAAUAACUGGGAAGACUCAACAAUGACUUGAUCUUUGAGUUUUCUGCUCUACCCACAUUCAGAUCCAUUGAUGUAGGACAGAAGGCUUACUGGCUUGAGGUGGUUGAGUAUGAUCUCUCUCUGGUCAUUGGAUGACCAUUAUGCUGUGCAAACAUAGGAAGUCAGGCUUAAAAAUAAUAAAGAAAAUCUCUUUUCUUUGAAAAGAGAAAAAUAAAAAAAGACAAAGACAAACUUUUAGUUAGACUGAC